UAUAUGUCUAAUCUUCAACCAGAUGAGAUACGCCCAGUUUUUAUGAAUUAUUCGAUAUAGUUUUACGUAUUAAAAGUAGAACGUAAACUGUUAACAAUUGAAACAACUUAAGAAGAAUUUGUCUUGCAUGCCUUUGAAUAGAAUAUUGCCUUUGAAUAGAAUAUUACCUUUGAAUUGAGUAGACUUUGAGAGAACUUACCUUUGAAUUUCACCAGAAAAACAGCUUGCAACCUUGACCGUGGACGUGGUUAAAAUCAGACAGAUCACAAUAUUUCAGCUGUAUUUAAAUUAUUGAAGGCAGGAAGACAAUAUAUAUUUAUGGUAUUACGUGAUGUCACCAAUUUCUUAUUGGUUAAUACGCUUGCACCACCCCCACUUAAUAUUAGCAAUUAACCAAUGCAUUACGUGCUAUUGUUACGAGGUCGGUUGUUGGGGAUUAUAGGCUUGCGCGAGGGCCUUGUAAAGUCGGUAAUCUAGAACGGAAUCUUUGAAUACUGAAGCCAACAAAGAUUAAUGCUACAACACAAUUGUCUCAACAGAUAGACUUUAUUCGACACAGAAAUGGUAGUUGGAGCUGGGGAUAAAGGGUAAAACGCGGGAAAAAGGGUAAAACGCGGAAAAAAGGUAAAACGAGGAAAGAAAGGGUGAAACGCGAAAAAAAAGAUGAAACGCGGAAAAAAGAUGAAACGUGGAAAAAAAGGUGAAACGCGAAAAAAAGUAAAACGCGGAAAAAAGGAUAAAAUGCGGAAAAAAGGGUAAAACGCCGAAAAUAGUGUUUGCCAACCCAAUCAUGACUUUUUCCUAGCCUUCGCCCUCCUUCUCUGGAGCCGUUACGUACACAGGCUAACUUUUUCCCGCUGACUUUUAAAAUAUAUUUAAGGCAGAGUAGCGCUUGCUGAGCUAUGUGUUUUAAGACCUUGCACUUACAGUUUAUCGAAGCCAAACUUUGUUUUUGUUAAUAAAAUCAAAUUUAAUCUAAUUAAAUACCAUAAAAAUAAUCAUACGCCCACCGACUAAAUAACAGUCAUAAACACCUACUAUGUAAAGGCUGUGUUAAUACAGAGUGUAUCUAAAAGUCGAGGGUCGAGAGUCGAGAGUAAAGGUCGAGAGUCGAGAGUAAAAGUCGAGAGUCGAGAGUAAAAGUCGAGAGUCGAGAGUAAAAGUCGAGAGUCGAGAGUAAAAAGUCGAGAGUCGAGAGUAAAAAGUCGAGAGUCGAUCGAGAGUAAAAAGUCGAGAGUCGGCAAAUGUCAUCAGAAACAACAAAGUCAAAAUACUUUUACAGUAACACAAUAUAUAAGCGAUCCGUAACAACGGCUGAUUAUAGCCGUACGGGCGAGGGGGGGGGGGAGGCAGUCCCGCACCCCAGUCAAAAUAAAUUCGGCCAAAAAUUGGGGGAAAUAAAUUUAAAAAGAAGACAGUAUAUGCAAUAUGGUAUUUGAAAAUACCAGAAAUAUGUAAAAGUAACGAGGAAUCGACAAAUAGGAAAAUAUUUUUGUCUACUUCCCAACGACAAUUUUGGAAAUUUAGUUACACGGAAAAUUUUAUUCAGUGG
rnacentral:lncRNA from 1 species